UCCACGGCGCCGCAGAUGUGAUGCAAACCAGACGGGAGAUGAGGGCACCAGCCAAGCCGGAGCGUCGACUCUGCGAGCUCUAGAAGCAGCGGCGGCGCCGGAUUUCGCGGAGGUAGCGGAAGUUCUGAUGCCUUGACUCCAGAUGCCGCUACCCCUCUCUCCGAUUCGCCGCCAUCGCCGGGGUCAUACAAAAACAGGGCAUGCAAUAUCGAAGCAGAAGAGUGGAGACGGACAUUCCACCUGUUAUCUCUCCCGAAGCGCCGGCAUCACCGCAUACGUUGGAGAAUAGGUCAUACGAUAACCAGGAGGAACAACUGAUGCCUGAGGAUUCCCAUGUUCGCGGAUCAGAAUCGCCCGAGUCGACACAUCUAUGGAAGAGGAGGUCUGUUGUAUUAUUUGUUUUUAAGUGUAUCGUUCAUGCUGGUCCUAUACGUGUGGCAGCUUUUUUUCAUACGUGUUUAGUUUUCAGCAUGUAUAGAUAGACAGGUAGUGCUCUAUUGUAAGCAUCCCAGUAGGGCUGGUUGCGAUACUGGGUUUGCCUUGUUUUUAAGUACUAAGUUGAAUAGUCAGUUGUAGAACAAUGGAUAGUCAAACAUUCCGUUAUUCAAAUCAAGUUAAUAACUGAUCGAGUUCUCCUCGGAGAAGCAAGAUAGCAUCUAAGAGCUCAAAUGCUUAUGAUAUUUUUGAGCAAAUAGAUGCAGCCUAAUAGUACACGCCGCUGCCGCCGCCUCGAUCCUACAUGCAGUGGGCCUCCACGAGCCAGCACGCGACGUCUCCUCGUGAGUCUGCCCGCUGCUAUGUACCGCAAACCGCUGACCUGAUCAGAGACCACGGCGGCUGAUGGUAAAUGUUUCCGCUCCGUUGGCGAGCUCCACCGAUGCCUCUGAUGACAACAAAUUCGUUCUCCCAGCAUGAAGGACGAGAUAAUCCGCACUACCUAAACAACUAGAUAGCCUGUGGCGGUCUGGGAGGCGCCUCCCUGCACCAGCACCUCGAAGCCAAUGCCUCAAGCUCCUUCCCGAUGGUAGCCCCAUCCAGAGCACCACGCAUCAUUAUUGGACAAAACUACUGAUACUAUUUAUCGUCGUUUCUUUUGUUGAUUCAAUGGCUGACGGAAAUACUGAUUAUUUUUGUUUUGUGUAAGUACUAGCACAGGUUGAUAAAUGGAGCACGGUGGCUCUGCCAAUCCCCCAUUAGGUUUCACUCUCAUUUGCCCUUGUGAUGAUUCCAUUUUGUUUCCGGAGAUUUUCCUUGAUCAGCGAUGUUUCUUUAUUCUCUUGCUUCUUAUUAUUGUGACUAGGUUUACUUUGAAUCAACUGAAACUUGUUGAUCAUGAAUAGGCAAUGGUUGGUCAUCUAUCGUAUUGUGCACUCAUUAAAUCAGUAUCAACUUGCAGUACUAGGAUGGUAAGAUUAGUAUUUCAGUUUUAUUCUGUUCUAGAAGAAUGGAGAUUUUUAUUCUUGUCGCGUUCGGUUUGAGCGGGGUGUGCUCCGCCUGGUCAUCGACGAGUACUGGUUGCCAUGGACUGGUCAGAGGUGAGCGGUGUGCAUGUAUAUUUUUUUUGCCGUAAUUCUUCUCUGGAAUUGGUCUAUGCAAUCCUUCAAAUUGCAUGCCUAGAAGAAAUGUACCGAGAGCUUGGUGAUGGAUGUUCAUUACCGAGGAAAAAUGAUCCGUCCAAUUAUAUAGAGCUACACUGCAGGUACUAUUUAGAAAAGCUCAUUGGGAGUCCAGAGCUGAGGUACUGAGUUAACCAGUAAACUUUUGAAGUCUUUUUACAUAGUUAUUAGUAUAGACUAUUGGAAUAUUUUUAAAUAGUUAUUAGUAUAGACAGAAGUUUAUCUUACACUGUUUUCUUGCUCUAUUUUUCUCCAUGGAACAGGUUUACAGAUGUACUUUAUGACAUGUCAAAGAGGUCCAAGAGCCUUUGUUGAAAUAGCAUGCCAACUGAUAUCUAUACUCAGGAGCAAUAGGAGUCAUUCCCAAUACCUUUUGAACUCUUGGAAGUUGUCAGAAAUAGAACUAAAAAAAUCCCAGGAUAAAAGUAAAGAAUCUGAACCCAUUAAGAUUUUAAACUAGAAUUAGCUUAUUUGGACUAGAAUUUGCAAUUUGCUGCUAAUUCAGUUUCAUAUUUUUAUGGUACUUGUGAAGGAUAUAAAAUAUAUUUGGAGAACUUAAUUAAAAUUUAUA